GAGGCUGUAGUGUAGCUUGGUUAUCACCUGCGGCUGGGGGCCGUAGAACGGGGGUUCGAAUCCUCCCAGCCUCA
rnacentral:tRNA from 1 species